rnacentral:rRNA from 1 species
CGGUAACAGAUCCAGCUUGCUGGAUGCUGACGAGCGGCGGACGGGUGAGUAAUGCAUAGGAAUCUGCCCGAUAGUGGGGGAUAACCUGGGGAAACCCAGGCUAAUACCGCAUACGUCCUACGGGAGAAAGGGGGCUCCGGCUCCCGCUAUGGGAUGAGCCUAUGUCGGAUUAGCUAGUUGGUGAGGUAACGGCUCACCAAGGCCACGAUCCGUAGCUGGUCUGAGAGGAUGAUCAGCCACAUCGGGACUGAGACACGGCCCGAACUCCUACGGGAGGCAGCAGUGGGGAAUAUUGGACAAUGGGGGAAACCCUGAUCCAGCCAUGCCGCGUGUGUGAAGAAGGCCCUCGGGUUGUAAAGCACUUUCAGCGAGGAAGAACGCCUAGCGGUUAAUACCCGCUAGGAAAGACAUCACUCGCAGAAGAAGCACCGGCUAACUCCGUGCCAGCAGCCGCGGUAAUACGGAGGGUGCAAGCGUUAAUCGGAAUUACUGGGCGUAAAGCGCGCGUAGGUGGCUUGAUAAGCCGGUUGUGAAAGCCCCGGGCUCAACCUGGGAACGGCAUCCGGAACUGUCAAGCUAGAGUGCAGGAGAGGAAGGUAGAAUUCCCGGUGUAGCGGUGAAAUGCGUAGAGAUCGGGAGGAAUACCAGUGGCGAAGGCGGCCUUCUGGACUGACACUGACACUGAGGUGCGAAAGCGUGGGUAGCAAACAGG